AUUAAAUCACAUGAUCUCCAAUCCCUCUUCUAACAUGGUAUUGAUGAAAGUAAUUAGUGCAAAAUAAAGGCGAUAGGGAUAUGGGAAGUAAAAAUAAUACUAAAUAAUACAACCCGAAGCUGCGUCUCAUGCCAAGAUUUCGCAGAGUGCAUUAUUUAAGAGCAAGACAGGCAGGCACAGCUAAGAGAAGGAGAGGUUUGAUUUGAUACAGA
rnacentral:lncRNA from 1 species